ensembl:lncRNA
AAACGGUGCCGUCCCUUCCUCUCCGCUGUCUCACCGUUUCAGUUGGUGGCACAGGCACCUGCUCAGUGCGCACUGUUCUGGCUUUUUUGCAGUUAAGCCUCGGGGGUGUAGGUUCAGGAUGAGGCUUAGUCCUCGGAGGUGUAGGUUCAGGAUGAGGCUUAGUCCUCGGGGGUGUAGGUUCAGGAUGAGGCUUAGUCCUCGGAGGUGUAGGUUCAGGAUGAGUCUUAGGCCUCGGAGGUGUAGGUUCAGGAUGAGGCUUAGUCCUCGGGGGUGUAGGUUCAGGAUGAGGCUUAGUCCUCAAGGGUGUAGGUUCAGGAUGAGGCUUAGUCCUCGGGGGUGUAGUGGUCCCAUGGUGUUUAUGUUUGCAUACUAUUGUUUGUACAGAUGAACGUGGCACCUUCAGGCAUUUGGAAAUUGCUCCCAAGGAUGAACCAGACUUGUGGAGGUCUACAAUUUAUUUUCUGAGGUCUUGGCUGAUUUCUUUAGAUUUUACCAUAAUGUCAAGCAAAGAGGCACUGAGUUUGAAGGUAGGCCUUGAAAUACAUCCACAGGUACACCUCCAAUUGACUCAAAUGAUAUCAAUUAGCCUAUCAGAAGCU